AACCUUAUGGUUAUGAAAUCCUUUUUUUUCUCUCUUCUUGCAUUUCCCAGCAAGCAAAUAGAUUAGGAAAAAAACCAAAGUGGCUCAAAUAAUGAGCAACUAAAAUUCCUCAAAACCCAAGAUCAUUCCUCUCUCCCCGAUUUCUCCCUCAUGCUAACUCUCCUCAGCCAACCACCAUAACACGUCGACGCUCGAUUGAGUUUGCUAAAUUGGUUAGACUUCUUUAUUCUACUUCCAAUAACCCUGAGGUAACCAACAAUGCUCUGAAUGUAUCUAUUUCAAUGGUUGAUUUUAGCCUGUUGGAACAUAUAUUUGGAUUGAAAAGGUUUUUGACUUUAAAUCAUCAUGAGUUUUUCUUCUCAAUUGAAGGAGAUUGAUUAUAAAUAAUUACACAUUAUCUUCUGUUCAAUGUAGGGAAUUCAAUUAAUAGAUUUAUAACAUUUCCUAUUUGCUUUUAGAGACAAAUUUUGACUUUGUGUGCUGUUCAUUGAUUCUCCUGCAUCUGUUUCUCUACUAUUCUAUUCAAUUGUCAAUGAGUUGUUACGUUGCAUGUAUAAAUGAAUAGCAGUAAGCUCACAUUGAUAGAUCAGUACAAAUUUAUCAUGAUCUCAUCAAUUA